ACACACAACGCACUACACUCUUCUUUACACACACAGCAACAACUUCAAAAAAAAGAAACAAAAAGAAAGAAAGGGGAAGAAGGAAGGGGGAUCGAGGAAGGAAGGAGAGGGGGCAGAAGAGUGAGGCGGCGCGGUGGGUGUCACUGCCACCAUAGCCGCCGCUGCUGACAGAGGAGAGAGAGAAGAUCUGAGAGAAAAGGAGAGUGUCACGAGGGAGCCGCCGUGCUGCCCAGGAUCGCCGUCGCGUCGCGUCGUCUUUUGCACCAGCGCCGAGGAGGACCGCACGAGAAGGACCGCCAUUUUGCGCCGCCACUGUGGCUCUUGUCGCCGCUGGACCUGUCGCCGUCGCCACCAACAUCCACCGCCGUUGAGGUUGUCGCUGAUGGGAGAGGAUGAAGCUGCCCAUGUCGUCGCCGUGAGGAGCCGCGAGUCCCGUCGCCGUCAUCAUCACAAAUGGUGUCGCCGUUGUGGUUGAACCCAGCCGCCACCAUCGCAAGCUCCGUCGCCACCGUUGGAGGUGGGUUGCCGAGCCGGUGUCACCGAAAAAUGGCGUUGUCGUAGCUGAGGUCCAUUGCUGUUGCCGUCGCUGAGCUUCUGGCCGCCGGGAACGGUGCUGUGGCCGCUGGAACCUUAGUUUGAGUCGCUGCUGUUAGUCACUAAUGGAGGUUGAGUAUUGACGCUAGUGUUGCCGUGGGGCUGCUAAAGCUGCUGCUAGUUCUGAUUUUGUUAUCUUGGUACAAAUGUUACUG